CUAUACAUGACUCUGCGCAUAUCAAUAAGCGGAGGAAAAGAAACUAACUAGGAUUCCCUCAGUAACGGCGAGUGAAGCGGGAAGAGCUCAAAUUUGAAAUCUUCAAGGUUCUACCUUGACGAAUUGUAGUUUAAAGAAGUGUUUUCUGUUGGAGUUUUGGUAAAAGUUCUUUGGAAUAGGACAUCAUAGAGGGUGAGAAUCCCGUAUUUGGAUCCAUUAUUUCCUAGCUUUGUGAUACACUUUCAAAGAGUCGGAUUGUUUGGGAAUGCAGUCCAAAAUGGGUGGUAAAUUUCAUCUAAAGCUAAAUAUUGGCGAGAGACCGAUAGCGAACAAGUACCGUGAGGGAAAGAUGAAAAGAACUUUGAAAAGAGAGUUAAACAGUACGUGAAAUUGUCAAAAGGGAAGCGUUUGACACCAGUGUUGUUUUUCCGAAAAUCAAUUACGAAUGUUUUAGUUUUUGAGAAGUUAUGACUUCAUCGGCUUGCUUCUCUCUUUACGAAACUUUCUUAAUGCACUUUUCGGUUAACAAGUCAACAUCAAUUUCUUUUGUUGUAAAAGGGUAUGAGGAAGGUGGCUUUCUUUUCGGAGAAAGUGUUUAUAGCCUUGUAGCCUCUGCAAUCGGAGAGAUUGAGGAUCAUGCAGCGUAGAUCCUUCGGGGUUAGAUACACUUUGUGCUAAGUUAUAGCUUGUCAUAGACAACUUGUUGACUAUGUUCAGUCAUUGUAGCUUACUCGCAUGAUGCUAUUUUACCUACGCUUAGGAUGUUGAUAGUCACAGCGUGUAC
rnacentral:rRNA from 1 species